rnacentral:rRNA from 1 species
GACGAACGCUGGCGGCGUGCUUAACACAUGCAAGUCGAACGGAAAGGCCCUGCUUUUGUGGGGUGCUCGAGUGGCGAACGGGUGAGUAACACGUGAGUAACCUGCCCUUGACUUUGGGAUAACUUCAGGAAACUGGGGCUAAUACCGGAUAGGAGCUCCUGCUGCAUGGUGGGGGUUGGAAAGUUUCGGCGGUUGGGGAUGGACUCGCGGCUUAUCAGCUUGUUGGUGGGGUAGUGGCUUACCAAGGCUUUGACGGGUAGCCGGCCUGAGAGGGUGACCGGCAACAUUGGGCCUGGGACCGGGCCCGGCUCCCACCGGGGGGCAGAGGGGGGGAUUUUGCCCCAUGGGGCGGAGCCCGGAGGCAGCACCCCCGGGGGGGGGAGGCCGCCUUUCGGGUGGAAACCCGUUUCCGCCGGUGACGAGGGGGGGGUGACGGUAAGGGGUAAAAAAGCCCCGGCUAACUACGUG